UACGAAGGGUGCAAGCGUUACUCGGAAUUACUGGGCGUAAAGCGUGCGUAGGUGGUUUUUUAAGUCCGUUGUGAAAGCCCUGGGCUCAACCUUGGAAUUGCAUUUGAGACUGCAUAGCUAGGGUGCGGAAGAGGGAAGCGGAAUUUCCGGUGUAGCGGUGAAAUGCGUAGAUAUCGGAAGGAACAUCAGUGGCGAAAGCGGCUUCCUGGCCCAGCACCGACGUUCAGGCACGAAAGCGUGGGGAGCAAACAGG
rnacentral:rRNA from 1 species